rnacentral:rRNA from 1 species
CACGUAGGGCGCAAGCGUUGUCCGGAAUUAUUGGGCGUAAAGAGCUCGUAGGUGGUUUGUUACGUCUGCUGUGAAAACCUAGGGCUUAACCCUGGGCUUGCAGUGGAUACGGGCAGACUAGAGGUAGGUAGGGGAGAAUGGAAUUCCUGGUGUAGCGGUGAAAUGCGCAGAUAUCAGGAGGAACACCGGUGGCGAAGGCGGUUCUCUGGGCAUGUCCUGACGCUGAGGAGCGAAAGUGUGGGGAGCGAACAGG